GUUAUGUUAAGGAACACUCCAAGCACCAUAAUCACCACAGCUCUGUCAAUCACCUAUUGUAGUAGCAGUAGGUAAUCCAGCUUAGAACAGUUUAAAUUCUUACACCACUCCUCACCUCCACUACGUCCAAAAGAGAGUUGGAAACUCCUGCUUAGAAGCCUCUGUUAGAUCUCCUGAACUAAACCAUGCAGCUUGUUUAUUUCUGUCUUUCGUUUGUUCUUUCUUUCUUAAUACUUGCAGAAAAACUGAUUUGGAGCUUGGACCAUAAUGUUUUGGGACAAUUAAUUACAA